GGUUCAGGAUGAACGCUGGCGGCGUGCCUAACACAUGCAAGUCGAGCGGAGAUAAGUUGAAGCCUAGCGAUUCUUAUCUUAGCGGCGGAUGGGUGAGUAACACGUGGGUAACCUGCCCUGUACUGGGGAAUAACAGCUGGAAACGGCUGUUAAUGCCGCAUAUGCGCACGGAGCCGCAUGACUCCGGGCGGAAAGAUUUAUCGGUACAGGAUGGGCCCGCGCCGGAUUAACUAGUUGGCGGGGUAACGGCCCACCAAGGUGAUGAUCCGUAGCCGACCUGAGAGGGUGACCGGCCACAUUGGGACUGAGACACGGCCCAAACUCCUACGGGAGGCAGCAGUGGGGGAUAUUGCACAAUGGGGGAAACCCUGAUGCAGCGACGCCGCGUGAAGGAUGACGUAUUUCGGUAUGUAAACUUCUAUCAGCGGGGAAGAAGAUGACGGUACCCGACUAAGAAGCCCCGGCUAACUACGUGCCAGCCGCUGC
rnacentral:rRNA from 1 species